rnacentral:rRNA from 1 species
GAACGCUCGUAGCAAUACGGGAGUGGCAGACGGGUGAGUAACGCGUGGGAACAUACCCUCCGGUUCGGAAUAGCUCAGGGAAACUUGGAUUAAUACCGGAUACGGCCGAGAGGCGAAAGAUUUAUCGCCGGAGGAUUGGCCCGCGUUCGAUUAGCUUGUUGGUGAGGUAAUGGCUCACCAAGGCGAUGAUCGAUAGCUGGUCUGAGAGGAUGAUCAGCCACAUUGGGACUGAGACACGGCCCAAACUCCUACGGGAGGCAGCAGUGGGGAAUAUUGGACAAUGGGCGCAAGCCUGAUCCAGCCAUGCCGCAUGAGUGAUGAAGGCCUUAGGGUUGUAAAGCUCUUUCGCUCGGGACGAUAAUGACGGUACCGAGAUAAGAAGCCCCGGCUAACUUCGUG